AUUGAACGCUGGCGGCAGGCCUAACACAUGCAAGUCGAGCGAGCGGCGGACGGGUGAGUAAUGUCUGGGAAACUGCCUGAUGGAGGGGGAUAACUACUGGACACGGUAGCUAAUACCGCAUACCAUCAGAUGUGCCCAGGUGGGAUUAGCUAGUAGGUGGGGUAACGGCUCACCUAAUCGACGAUCCCUAGCUGGUCUGCGAGGAUGACCAGCCACACUGGAACUGAGACACGGUCCAGACGCCUCCGGGAGGCAGCAGUGGGGAAUAUUUCACAAUGGGCGCAAGCCUGAUGCAGCCAUGCCGCGUGUGUGAAGAAGGCCUUCGGUUUGUAAAGCACUUUCAGCGGGGAGGCGUUACCCGCAGAAGAAGCACCGGCUAACUCCGUGCCAGCAGCCGCGGUAAUUC
rnacentral:rRNA from 1 species